GACGUAGGGCGCAAGCGUUGUCCGGAUUUAUUGGGCGUAAAGAGCUCGUAGGCGGCCUGUCGCGUCGACCGUGAAAACCCGCAGCUCAACUGCGGGCUUGCGGUCGAUACGGGCAGGCUGGAGUUCGGUAGGGGAGAAUGGAAUUCCCGGUGUAGCGGUGAAAUGCGCAGAUAUCGGGAGGAACACCAGUGGCGAAGGCGAUCACCUGGGGUUGUUCUGACGCUGAGGAGCGAAAGCUAGGGGAGCAAACGGG
rnacentral:rRNA from 1 species